UUAAUAGUUUAUGCUCAAUCAAGAGACAGUUACAUUCUUAUCUUAUAGUGUUUAAAAUGUGUAAAAACAGUUUGUGCACAGUGUGAAGGAAAUGAAUUGGGUCGGACCUCUAAAAAGAACGUCCUUGCAUUUCAUGAAUGAUCCUUCCGCAGGUUCACCUACGGAAA
rnacentral:misc_RNA from 1 species